AGCCACCAAGGCGACGAUCGGUAGCCGGACUGAGAGGUUGAACGGCCACAUUGGGACUGAGACACGGCCCAGACUCCUACGGGAGGCAGCAGUGGGGAAUAUUGCACAAUGGGGGAAACCCUGAUGCAGCGACGCGGCGUGGAGGAAGAAGGUCUUCGGAUUGUAAACUCCUGUUGUUGAGGAAGAUAAUGACGGUACUCAACAAGGAAGUGACGGCUAACUACGUGCCAGCAGCCGCGGUAAAACGUAGGUCACAAGCGUUGUCCGGAAUUACUGGGUGUAAAGGGAGCGCAGGCGGGAAGACAAGUUGGAAGUGAAAUCCAUGGGCUCAACCCAUGAACUGCUUUCAAAACUGUUUUUCUUGAGUAGUGCAGAGGUAGGCGGAAUUCCCGGUGUAGCGGUGGAAUGCGUAGAUAUCGGGAGGAACACCAGUGGCGAAGGCGGCCUACUGGGCACCAACUGACGCUGAGGCUCGAAAGUGUGGGUAGCAAACAGGAUUAGAUACCCUGGUAGUCCACACUGUAAACGAUGAUUACUAGGUGUUGGAGGAUUGACCCCUUCAGUGCCGCAGUUAACACAAUAAGUAAUCCACCUGGGGAGUACGACCGCAAGGUUGAAACUCAAAGGAAUUGACGGGGGCCCGCACAAGCAGUGGAGUAUGUGGUUUAAUUCGACGCAACGCGAAGAACCUUACCAAGUCUUGACAUCCUGCGACGGACAUAGAAAUAUGUUUUUCCUUCGGGACGCAGAGACAGGUGGUGCAUGGUUGUCGUCAGCUCGUGUCGUGAGAUGUUGGGUUAAGUCCCGCAACGAGCGCAACCCUUAUGGUCAGUUACUACGCAAGAGGACUCUGGCCAGACUGCCGUUGACAAAACGGAGGAAGGUGGGGAUGACGUCAAAUCAUCAUGCCCUUUAUGACUUGGGCUACACACGUACUACAAUGGCGUUAAACAAAGAGAAGCAAGACCGCGAGGUGGAGCAAAACUCAGAAACAACGUCCCAGUUCGGACUGCAGGCUGCAACUCGCCUGCACGAAGUCGGAAUUGCUAGUAAUCGCAGAUCAGCAUGCUGCGGUGAAUACGUUCCCGGGCCUUGUACACACCGCCCGUCACACCAUGAGAGCCGGGGGGACCCGAAGUCGGUAGUCUAACCGCAAGGAGGACGCCGCCGAAGGUAAAACUGGUGAUUGGGGUGAAGUCGUAACAAGGUAGCCGUAGGAGAACCUGCGGCUG
rnacentral:rRNA from 1 species